rnacentral:rRNA from 1 species
AACUUUCAACAACGGAUCUCUUGGCUCUCGCAUCGAUGAAGAACGCAGCGAAAUGCGAUAAGUAAUGUGAAUUGCAGAAUUCAGUGAAUCAUCGAAUCUUUGAACGCACAUUGCGCCCUUUGGUAUUCCUUAGGGCAUACCUGUUCGAGCGUC